rnacentral:rRNA from 1 species
AGUGAACGCUGGCGGUAGGCCUAACACAUGCAAGUCGAACGGCCGCACAGUAAGAGCUUGCUCUUACGGGUGGCGAGUGGCGGACGGGUGAGGAAUACAUCGGAAUCUACUUUUUCGUGGGGGAUAACGUAGGGAAACUUACGCUAAUACCGCAUACGACCUACGGGUGAAAGCAGGGGAUCUUCGGACCUUGCGCGAUUGAAUGAGCCGAUGUCGGAUUAGCUAGUUGGCGGGGUAAAGGCCCACCAAGGCGACGAUCCGUAGCUGGUCUGAGAGGAUGAUCAGCCACACUGGAACUGAGACACGGUCCAGACUCCUACGGGAGGCAGCAGUGGGGAAUAUUGGACAAUGGGCGCAAGCCUGAUCCAGCCAUACCGCGUGGGUGAAGAAGGCCUUCGGGUUGUAAAGCCCUUUUGUUGGGAAAGAAAAGCAGCAGGUUAAUACCCCGCUGUUCUGACGGUACCCAAAGAAUAAGCACCGGCUAACUUCGU